GACGGAGGAUGCAAGCGUUGUCCGGAAUUAUUGGGCGUAAAGCGUUCGCAGGUGGCUGUUCAAGUCUGCUGUCAAAGACCGGGGCUUAACCCCAGAAAGGCAGUGGAAACUGAACGGCUGGAGUGCAGUAGGGGUAGAUGGAAUUCCCAGUGUAGCGGUGAAAUGCGUAGAGAUUGGGAAGAACACCGGUGGCGAAAGCGCUCUGCUGGACUGCAACUGACACUGAGGGACGAAAGCUAGGGGAGCGAAAGGG
rnacentral:rRNA from 1 species